UACGGGGGGAGCAAGCGUUGUUCGGAUUUACUGGGCGUAAAGGGCGCGUAGGCGGCGCAACAAGUCACUUGUGAAAUCUCCGGGCUUAACUCGGAGCGGCCAAGUGAUACUGUCGUGCUAGAGUGCGGAAGGGGCUACUGGAAUUCUCGGUGUAGCGGUGAAAUGCGUAGAUAUCGAGAGGAACACCUGCGGCGAAGGCGGGUAGCUGGGCCGACACUGACACUGAGGAGCGAAAGCGUGGGGAGCGAACAGG
rnacentral:rRNA from 1 species